rnacentral:rRNA from 1 species
ACGCUGGCGGCACGCCUAAUACAUGCAAGUCGAACGCAGUAGCAAUACUGAGUGGCAGACGGGUGAGUAUAAUGUGGGAAUAUGCCUUUUGGUUUGGAAUAACUCGGGGAAACUUGAGCUAAUACUGAAUAAGCCCUUACGGGGAAAGAUUUAUCGCCGAAAGAUUAGCCCGCACUUGAUUAGCUUGUUGGUGAGGUAAAAGCUCACCAAGGCAACGAUCAAUAGCUGUUCUUAGAGGAAGACCAGCCACAUUGGGACUGAGACACGGCCCAGACUCCUACGGGAGGCAGCAGUAGGGAAUCUUGCACAAUGGGGGAAACCCUGAUGCAGCGAUGCCGCGUGAGUGAAGAAGGCCUUUGGGUUGUAAAACUCUUUCGUCGGGGAAGAAAAUGACUGUACCCGAAUAAGAAGGUCCGGCUAACUUCGUGCCAGCAGCCGCGGUAAUACGAAGGGAUCUAGCGUAGUUCGGAAUUACUGGGCUUAAAGAGCUCGUAGGUGGUUAAAAAAGUUGGUGGUGAAAUCCCAAGGCUCAACCUUGGAACUGCCAUCAAAACUUUUUAGCUAGAGUGUGAUAGAGGAAAGUGGAAUUUCUAGUGUAGAGGUGAAAUUCGUAGAUAUUAGAAAGAACACCAAAAGCGAAGGCAACUUUCUGGAUCACUACUGACACUGAGGAGCGAAAGCAUGGGUAGCGAAGAGGAUUAGAUACCCUCGUAGUCCAUGCUGUAAACGAUGUGUGCUAGACGUUGGAAAUUUAUUUUCAGUGUCGCAGCAAAAGCAUUAAGCACACCGCCUGGGGAGUACGACC